rnacentral:rRNA from 1 species
UACAGAGGUCUCAAGCGUUGUUCGGAUUCAUUGGGCGUAAAGGGUGUGUAGGUGGCGCCGUAAGUCGGGUGUGAAAUUUCGGAGCUUAACUCCGAAACUGCAUUCGAUACUGCGGUGCUUUGAGGACUGGAGAGGAGACUGGAAUUCAUGGUGUAGCAGUGAAAUGCGUAGAGAUCAUGAGGAAGACCAGUGGCGAAGGCGGGGUCUCUGGACAGUUCCUGACGCUGAGGCACGAAGGUCAGGGGGAGCAAACGGG